UGGGGAAUUUUGGACAAUGGGCGAAAGCCUGAUCCAGCAAUGCCGCGUGUGUGAAGAAGGCCUUCGGGUUGUAAAGCACUUUUGUCCGGAAAGAAAUGGCUCUGGUUAAUACCUGGGGUCGAUGACGGUACCGGAAGAAUAAGGACCGGCUAACUACGUGCCAGCAGCCGCGGUAAUACGUAGGGUCCAAGCGUUAAUCGGAAUUACUGGGCGUAAAGCGUGCGCAGGCGGUUGUGCAAGACCGAUGUGAAAUCCCCGAGCUUAACUUGGGAAUUGCAUUGGUGACUGCACGGCUAGAGUGUGUCAGAGGGGGGUAGAAUUCCACGUGUAGCAGUGAAAUGCGUAGAGAUGUGGAGGAAUACCGAUGGCGAAGGCAGCCCCCUGGGAUAACACUGACGCUCAUGCACGAAAGCGUGGGGAGCAAACAGGAUUAGAUACCCCUGGUAGUCCACGCCCUAAAACGAUGUCAACUAGUUGUUGGGGGAUUCAUUUCCUUAGUAACGUAGCUAACGCGUGAAGUUGGACCGCCUGGGGAGUACGGUCGCAAGAUUAAAA
rnacentral:rRNA from 1 species